CGAACAGCCAGUCAGAAGCAGUACAUAAAGACCUCAAAAGAAUAAAAUGAGCUCUUGCCUGCUGCCAUGUAAGACAUGACUUUGCUUCUCAUUUGCCUUCUGCAGUGAUUGUGAGGCCUCCCCAGCCAUGUGGACCUCGAUGAGUCAACAAGAAGUUUACAGCACUGAGAAAGACGAGUCAACAACAGAAGGAAAAAAAUCCAGAGAAAAUGGCACUUGCUGCAUUGGAAUGAAAGAUAAUCUGCAGAAGGACCUGCUCAGUGGCAAUAAACAUUGGCAUUCUUGGAAACAGUGUUUGCCUAAGAAUCUUCUGUCUGCCUUUGUUGCUUUGGCCAUAUUAUGAUAAGGGCAUGACUGGAUUUACCAAAAUGGGCAUGAUUGGAUCUACUUAUUCUCUUAUCAGACACCUUUUCCUAGACAACAUCCUGAAACAUAAGAAUAAGCACAAAAAUGAACAUAUUACAUCAAACGUACCACUGAGAAGAAUGGUAAGUUUAACAGUUUCCCACGUGGGAGGCAUAUUGACGAUUACAAUUUUAAGUUAGCAGAACACCAGCUCACAUGGAAACAGUCUCCUCCGUGAAUUCUUUCUUUGGCUGACAGACAUGAGAUGUUAGCUGUCUAAGAAGACCUUCACACCAACACCUUCUUAGAAGAUAUUGUAAGAUAACAAUCCUUGAGUGGAACCUGAAUUCUUUCUAAACACUGCAUGUAGGAAAACAAGAGGCAGUUCACACAAUCACUUAACACCUCUUCUUAAAAGUGAAUCCUUGAAGGAGUGGUGUUCAAAUAUUUAAGUACAUUAGAUACUUUAUACACGCCACAUCCAAAAUGCUCAGUAUUCCUAAUACAUUUCAUUUUCUCCCAAGUUUUAAUGGUUGAUGCACAAUCACAUUAAUUUCCUAUUAAUUUCUAGGAAUAUGUACACAGUAGCCUUAGGAGAAAGAAGAUAACUAUUACUUUACAUUUUUAACUGUUUUGUUUUCAUGUCCAUGAGAGAAAAAUUAAAGUAAGUUAAAAAAUUAACUCAGACACUCUAUUUAUUUUUAGGAAGACAUACACCCCCCACAGGGAGACUUUUACAUGUUGUAAUAAUGUUCACAAACAGCUACUCUUUAAGUGUAACACUAUUCUAAGCCUCUUUUCCUCCAUUUUAUUUCAUAUACAUUUAUGCAUCUGCAUGCAUAUAUAACCACAUGUAUUUAUAUUUAGUAGGUAUAGUUUAUUACACAUAAAUCUAAAUAUCUAUCAUAUACAGUAAAUUAGAACCUAGCAUGAUACUAGCCAUAUAUUAGAGAUUCAAUGAAAAUGGUGGCUGUUUAUAUACAACGUAUUCAUUAAAAAAAC
rnacentral:lncRNA from 1 species